GUAAGCUGCCACCCCUGUCCAUGUCCAUCCUCACUCCUGAGUGAGUGUUCCCAAGUGUCCCCGAGUGUCCCCGAGUGCCCAGGGCAGCUUUUCCACGUCCAGCCAGGAAGGGCGACUGGGGAGCCCGAGCCCAGCACCCUCCAGCUCCUCCCAAAAUCCCUUUCCUGGCAAUGUCCAGGCUCUUCCCAGAGGCACCAGGGCAAGACAAGGAGUGGUGGCCACAAACCCAACCCCCAGAAGUUCCACCUCCAUGUGAGAACCUCUUCCCAUGGAGUGUCCCCCUCUGGAGCCACCCCAAACCCACCUGGCCGUGUCCCCGUGUCCCCUGCUCUGGGUGACCCCGUCCUGGCAGUGCUGGGAGAUCUCCGGAGUUCCUUUCUGACCCAACAACUGGGGAAUUUGGGAAUUCUGGGAUCCUCGUCCUUGUCCAGUGCUUGUCCAGCCUCUGUGCUGGCUUGGAGUGAGAUCUCCUGGAAUGAGGGAUCAGGGUGGGAUUUGAGGCCAAAUUCCCCCUGCCCCAAUGCCAGGAAGAGCCGGGUUUAUUUUGGGGUGUUGCCUCUGGAUCUUCUUCCAUUUCCAGGUGCCAACUCCAGCAGCUGGAUCAGGAUCGGCGUCGUAGCUGGGGUUGAAAUCGCGUCGCUUUUAUCAAUUUACCUCUUGUUCCACUGCAAAUCCAAAGAUUGACAGCCAGUUAAACCACGGAAAGGAGCUGGACACGCCUCUGUGGAAAAGGAGAUUUAAAAAUGAGCAAAGCCCAAGAAAAGCUCUUUCCUCUGCCCUGGGAACGGGUCACUGACCGGCCCCACGCGGCCAGGCUGGGCUGAGAUUCCUGCCACAGCCGGGCCGUGCCACCAGGACUGUCCCAACACCAUGAGCAGCCACACGGCCACACCAAGCGCCAGGAGUGGCCUCGUGGCCAGCACUGGAGGUGGCCCCAAAAUCCAGAGCGACCACGAGGCCGAGACUGUCCGGCCAAAAUCCUCACGGCCGGGGCAGCGCAGCCGCUGUCUCACAAUGGACUUUGUUCGCUUCACGGAAAUUAAAAUUAAAAGCCAGGAAAGAGCUGUUUCUUGUGGAGAAGUCUCCGUGGCAUGGCAAGAGAGACUGCUCUCCACAAGAGAGCUGAAGACAGGCUGUUUUGAGUUGGUAAACUGACUGAAAGUGCCAGGUUUUGUCUCUUUACGUUGUCAGUGGGAAAGAAAAGAGCUUGGGGGAUAAGCAUUCCGAAGGUUUAUUCUGAUUUUAUUUUUAUUUUUAUUUUAAGUCAGUCGAUAAAGAUUUUUUUAAUACCA